rnacentral:rRNA from 1 species
CACGUAGUUAGCCGUGGCUUUCUCAUAAAGUACCGUCACUCGGAUGUCAUUUCCUCCAUCCGUCUUUCUUCCUUUAUAACAGAAGUUUACAGAACGAAUUCCUUCUUCCUUCACGCGGCGUUGCUCGGUCAGGGUUCCCCCCAUUGCCGAAAAUUCCCUACUGCUGCCUCCCGUAGGAGUCUGGGCCGUGUCUCAGUCCCAGUGUGGCCGGUCACCCUCUCAGGUCGGCUACGCAUCGUCGCCUUGGUGAGCCGUUACCUCACCAACCAGCUAAUGCGCCAUAAGUCCAUCCUCUACCAGUGCCUUGCAGCACUUUUAAUACGGUCACCAUGCAGUGUCCCUACCUAUGCGGUCUUAGCUGCCGUUUCCAGCAGUUAUCCCCCUGUAAAGGCCAGGUUACUUAUGUAUUACUCACCCGUUCGCCACUCGGGCACAAGUGCCCGCGUUCGACUUGCAUGUAUUAGGCACGCCGCCAGCGUUCAUCCUGAGCCAGGAUCAAACUCU